AUUGAACGCUGGCGGCAUGCCUUACACAUGCAAGUCGAACGGUAACAGGCCGCAAGGUGCUGACGAGUGGCGAACGGGUGAGUAAUGCAUCGGAACGUGCCCAGUCGUGGGGGAUAACUGCUCGAAAGAGCAGCUAAUACCGCAUACGACCUGAGGGUGAAAGCGGGGGACCGUAAGGCCUCGCGCGAUUGGAGCGGCCGAUGUCAGAUUAGCUAGUUGGUGGGGUAAAGGCCUACCAAGGCAACGAUCUGUAGUUGGUCUGAGGGGACGGCCAGCCACACUGGGGCUGAGACACGGCCCAGACUCUUACGGGAGGCAGCAGUGGGGAAUUUUGGACAAUGGGCGCAAGCCUGAUCCAGCAAUGCCGCGUGCAGGAAGAGGGCCUUCGGGUUGUAAACUGCCUUUGCCAGGGAAGAAAUCUUCUGGGCUAAUACCCCGGGAGGAUGACGGUACCUGAAGAAUAAGCACCGGCUAACUACGUGCCAGCAGCCGCCGUAAUAC
rnacentral:rRNA from 1 species